GAGUUUGAUCCUGGCUCAGAACGAACGCUGGCGGCGUGCUUAACACAUGCAAGUCGAACGUGAUCCGGAGCUUGCUCUCAUGAAAGUGGCGCACGGGUGAGUAACACGUGGAUAAUCUGCCUGGCGAUUCGGGAUAACACUUCGAAAGGGGUGCUAAUACCGGAUAAGCCCACAGUCUCUUUGGAGGGUGUGGGAAAAGGGGGCCUCUGUAUAUGCUCCUGUCGCUAGAUGAGUCCGCGGCCCAUUAGCUAGUUGGUAGGGUAAUGGCCUACCAAGGCGACGAUGGGUAGCUGGUCUGARAGGAUGAUCAGCCACACUGGAACUGAGACACGGUCCAGACUCCUACGGGAGGCAGCAGUGGGGAAUUUUGCGCAAUGGGCGAAAGCCUGACGCAGCAACGCCGCGUGAGUGAUGAAGGCCUUCGGGUCGUAAAGCUCUGUCAGUGGGGAAGAACCGCCGGGUGGUUAAUACCUGCCUGGUCUGACGGUACCCACAAAGGAAGCACCGGCUAACUCCGUGCCAGCAGCCGCGGUAAUAC
rnacentral:rRNA from 1 species